rnacentral:rRNA from 1 species
AACGUACGCUGGCGGCACGCCUAACACAUGCAAGUCGAACGAAGUAGCAAUACUUAGUGGCAGACGGGUGAGUAACAUGUAGGUAUCUGCCCUUUGGCCUGGAAUAACACGAGGAAACUUGUGCUAAUACCGGAUAAGUCUUUACGGAGAAAGCUUUAUGCACCAUUGGAUGAGCCUGCACUUGAUUAGUUUGUUGGUGGGGUAAUGGCCUACCAAGACUGUGAUCAAUAGCUGAUUUGAGAGGAUGAUCAGCCACAUUGGGACUGAGACACGGCCCAAACUCCUACGGGAGGCAGCAGUGGGGAAUCUUGCACAAUGGAGGAAACUCUGAUGCAGCGAUGCCGCGUGAGUGAAGAAGGCCCUUGGGUUGUAAAGCUCUUUCGUCGGGGAAGAAAAUGACUGUACCCGAAUAAGAAGGUCCGGCUAACUUCGUGCCAGCAGCCGCGGUAAUACGAAGGGACCUAGCGUAGUUCGGAAUUACUGGGCUUAAAGAGUUCGUAGGUGGUUGAAAAAGUUAGUGGUGAAAUCCCAGAGCUUAACUCUGGAACUGCCAUUAAAACUUUUCAGCUAGAGUAUGAUAGAGGAAAGCAGAAUUUCUAGUGUAGAGGUGAAAUUCGUAGAUAUUAGAAAGAAUACCAAUUGCGAAGGCAGCUUUCUGGAUCAUUACUGACACUGAGGAACGAAAGCAUGGGUAGCGAAGAGGAUUAGAUACCCUCGUAGUCCAUGCCGUAAACGAUGUGUGUUAGACGUUGGAAAUUUAUUUUCAGUGUCGCAGGGAAACCGAUAAACACACCGCCUGGGGAGUACGACCGCAAGGUUAAAACUCAAAUGAAUUGACGGGGACCCGCACAAGUAGUGGAGCAUGUGGUUUAAUUCGAAGAUACGCGCAGAACCUUACCAACACUUGACAUGUUCGUCGCGACUCUAAGAGAUUAGAGUUUUCGGUUCGGCCGGACGAAACACAGGUGCUGCAUGGCUGUCGUCAGCUCGUGUCGUGAGAUGUUGGGUUAAGUCCCGCAACGAGCGCAACCCUCACUUUUAGUUGCCAUCAUUAAGUUGGGCACUCUGAAAGAACUGCCAGUGAUAAGCUGGAGGAAGGUGGGGAUGACGUCAAGUCCUCAUGGCCCUUACGUGUUGGGCUACACACGUGCUACAAUGGUAUCUACAACAGGAAGCAAGACUGCGAAGUUAAGCAAAUCCCUAAAAGAUACCUCAGUUCGGAUUGCACUCUGCAAACUCGAGUGCAUGAAGCUGGAAUUACUAGUAAUCGUGAAUCAGCGUGCCACGGUGAAAUGCGUUCCCGGGUCU